UACCUAGAUGCAGGCUCUGUCAGUAGAAUGAGCUGUCCCUGCCAGCGGUGUUGCUUGUCCUAAUAUCUGCUCCCAUUGUUUUUUUACAGACAUGUGAGCCAAGUGGUGGACCUUUGGAUCUAAGGGCUGGCUGUACAGGGAGCGCUCAUGGAUAAGUUGGUGUCUGAUGCCCACAAACUAAGAAAGUGGAUGAUACCUGUUCAGCAGCACCAUCAUGACACUUGGAGUUGCGCUGCAUGGGGAGGGUUUCUGAGACACCCUUCUAGAACAUGAUUGAAAUAGGACUAUGGAGCCCAUAGAAGUAUUCCAGGAGUUUCUGAAUAACAGCAAGGUGUCAGCUAUUCAAGCUCUGUAGUUGGUAAGUCAUAUGGUUCCCAGCCUCCAUCUACCUGAGUCUCCUCGCAGCUUCACUUCUGGGGGUCUACAUGGCAAUAGAUGAAUUUAGAACUGCACCUGCAGGAAGUCUUUGGGAGGUAAGCACACAUUUCUAUACUGACCAGAAUAAGGACAGAUCUCAGCAGAUGCCUACCUGCUCUCCUAAACUCAGGAGUGUGCAAGUGUUUCUAGCAAGACUGCUAGUGCUAAUGAAAAACCCAUUUACUAUGAAUACUAUGAAUAUUAUGAAGCCUAUGCAGCUUCAUAAGCAAUGUAGUGUAAACACUGUUGUCAUUCAAGAUUUCAUUUGCCCAAAUGUUUGUGAAAAACCAACUCAAGAUGAUAUGAAUAUAUUAGAGUGAAUUCAUACUGAAAUUUUGGCACUUUGUUGUGAAAGCAUUUGCAGUGCUGAACCAUCUCCUCCUGGAUUCUUUUAAGAUGCUCUGAGCUUUAUCACUA